AUGGGUUACUUUAAAGCCAGAUCCAAUAAGCUUCUUAUUUGUUUGCAUUUAAUGUGUUUGUGGAGAAUUUUAGCGAGUAUUGUUAUUGAUAUUUUCAAUACUGCAGAAGUACAAAUGUUUUGGUGGCAAGGUGGCUCUCUAAGCAUAUCUUUCAAAAAUUCAAGUUUGAACAAGAACAAUCCAUUCUCUGUAAGCAUAUCUUUCAUAUUUUCUAUGUUUACCUUUCAGUUCAUGUUAGAUUUAUUAAUAAUGUUGGUAUGACAGUGAAGAUGACAAACAAGACCUAGGCAAAGAAAAUACAGUCUCUGCCUCAAUGUCAAAGGUUGCUUAAUAUGAAAGGCCGCUUGCAAACAAUUUAUUGAGUGGAAGUGUUCCUUCCAGUAUUUGGCAAAACAAUAUUUCAAAUCCUGAUAAAAGAUUGCCACUUAGCAUAAGGGCAGCCUUAACAUUGAUGUUCAUGCAUCUAAGGAGAAAUUUGUCAAGGAUAAGUCCUUCAGGUUUGUUGACAUGUUCUGAUAGUGCGGUUGAACCAACACUGACCCCAAUUUCGAUUCACGAGAGCAGUGAGGAUGCAUUAGACUUGACUUUUAGUCAGAUGGUUUGUGAUAUUCACUUGUGCCUUGAUUUGUUAGUUAUAUUUGAUAAAUAUAUAAUAUAUUUUUUUACGACUAAAAAAUGAUUUCGAUAGAGACAAAACAGGCAGAAGAAUGGGAGAAGAGAGAUUCAAGACUUUUGAAUUAUUGGAAGGAACCAAAUUGGUCCCUGCCAUUCUAUUUGUGUUAUUUCUGUUUUAUACUGAAAUUAUCAUAAAUUGUACCAAUUUUAUUUUGUAAAAGAUACCAGUUUCUGCCAACUUCCUAACCACACCGGAGUGUAAACCUGAGAUUGCAACUCCGUUGUGUCAUGCAUUCUGGACAGUGCAUCAACAACUUUGUUCUCCAACCCGGGUUUGUAAACUAUGUCAAAAUAGUACCCUUAGCUUUGCGGCCUAAUUUUGAUGAUCCAUGGUUGUAAUCCUUUUUGUAGUCACUGUUUUAAGCUCUUUUGAUGGCUGCUAACUGUAAAUUUAUGUCCCAAUUAAUAUAGUCUCCAAUGUU